CAUCUACUCCCUCCGUUCUAAAUUACUCGUCGCAGAAAUGAAUGUAUAUAAAACUAAAAUACAUCUAGAUACAUGCAUAUCUGUGACAAGUAAUUGGGAACGGAGGAAGUACUUC
rfam:Triticum aestivum genome assembly, contig: Triticum_aestivum_CS42_TGACv1_scaffold_093544_2AL